GAUGAACGCUGGCGGCGUGCCUAAUACAUGCAAGUCGAGCGAACAGACGAGGAGCUUGCUCCUCUGACGUUAGCGGCGGACGGGUGAGUAACACGUGGAUAACCUACCUAUAAGACUGGGAUAACUUCGGGAAACCGGAGCUAAUACCGGAUAAUAUAUUGAACCGCAUGGUUCAAUAGUGAAAGACGGUUUUGCUGUCACUUCUAGAUGGAUCCGCGCCGCAUUAGCUAGUUGGUAAGGUAACGGCUUACCAAGGCAACGAUGCGUAGCCGACCUGAGAGGGUGAUCGGCCCCACUGGAACUGAGACACGGUCCAGACUCCUACGGGAGGCAGCAGUAGGGAAUCUUCCGCAAUGGGCGAAAGCCUGACGGAGCAACGCCGCGUGAGUGAUGAAGGUCUUCGGAUCGUAAAACUCUGUUAUUAGUGAAGAACAAAUGUGUAAGUAACUAUGCACGUCUUGACGGUACCUAAUCAGAAAGCCACGGCUAACUACGUG
rnacentral:rRNA from 1 species